GAUGAACGCUGGCGGCGUGCCUAAUACAUGCAAGUCGAGCGAACAGACGAGGAGCUUGCUCCUCUGACGUUAGCGGCGGACGGGUGAGUAACACGUGGAUAACCUACCUAUAAGACUGGGAUAACUUCGGGAAACCGGAGCUAAUACCGGAUAAUCUAUUGAACCGCAUGGUUGAAUAGUGAAAGACGGUUUUGCUGUCACUUAUAGAUGGAUCCCCGCCGCAUUAGCUAGUUGGUAAGGUAACGGCUUACCAAGGCAACGAUGCGUAGCCGACCUGAGAGGGUGAUCGGCCACACUGGAACUGAGACACGGUCCAGACUCCUACGGGAGGCAGCAGUAGGGAAUCUUCCGCAAUGGGCGAAAGCCUGACGGAGCAACGCCGCGUGAGUGAUGAAGGUCUUCGGAUCGUAAAACUCUGUUAUUAGGGAAGAACAAAUGUGUAAGUAACUAUGCACGUCUUGACGGUACCUAAUCAGAAAGCCACGGCUAACUACGUG
rnacentral:rRNA from 1 species